rnacentral:rRNA from 1 species
UACGGAGGAUGCGAGCGUUAUCCGGAUUUAUUGGGUUUAAAGGGUGCGUAGGCGGCUUUUUAAGUCGGCGGUGAAAUUUUGCAGCUUAACUGUAACAGUGCCGUUGAUACUGGGGAGCUAGGAUUUGGUUGCUGUGGGUGGAAUGUGUGGUGUAGCGGUGAAAUGCUUAGAGAUCACACAGAACACCGAUUGCGAAGGCAUCUCACAAAGCCGUUAUUGACGCUGAGGCACGAAAGUGUGGGGAUCAAACAGGAUUAGAUACCCCCGUA